rnacentral:rRNA from 1 species
AUGGAGGUUCCGGAAGAUCGUAGAGUUCCUUUGGUCGCAUACAAGCUGAAAGGAGGAGCCGGUGCAUGGUGGCAUCGCGUUCUAGAAGAGCGCAGGCUGAGAGGAGAACCUCGUGUGAGAACUUGGCGGCAAAUGAAAAGUCUCUCGAAAGGGAGAUUUUUGCCCGCUGAUUAUGACCAAAUCCUAUUUAUCCAAUUUCAAAAUUGUGCUCAAGGAAAUAGGACUGUUUCAGAUUACACGGAGGAUUUUCUAAGGCUACAAGUGAGGUGCAACCUUGCUGAAAGUGAAGAGCAACAAGUUGCAAGGUACAUCAAUGGUCUCAAUGAUGCUAUUCAAGAUCGAUUGAUGAUGCAACAAAUCUGGUCCGUUGAUCAAGCACAAGCUCUAGCCUUAAAGGCCGAGAGGUUUGUGAGGAUGGGAAAGACAACUAAGGCUCCAUAUCCUCAUACCGAAGGCCCAUCUAGGAACCAACCUAAUAGAGUGGAAGAAAAGACCACUCCACCAAAGACAAAACAGCCCAUCCUGAAGCAAACUAGAAGCAAGGGUAAGGCAAAUGAAGGCCCAAAGUGCUAUAAAUGUGGUAAAGAGGGACACAUAUCCAGCGGUUUCCCACUAAGGAAAUUUUUUAACAUGACUAUCCAUGAUGGUGAAAGCGAUGAGGAAGAAUACGAAUCUGAAGAUGUAGACAGACAAGAGGUUUGUUAA